CUAGAGCUAAUACAUGCGAAAGGUCCCGACCUCCCCCGGAGGAAAGGAUGCAUUUAUUAGAUUACAAAAACCAAUGCGGGGCAUUCCAAAACUGCAGGCUCCUCUCGGGGAACCUGCGGGUCCCGGUCUCAACGAUGGUGAUUCAUGAUAACUCUGCGGAUCGCACGGUCUCGAACCGGCGACGAUUCAUUCAAAUUUCUGCCCUAUCAACUUUGAUGGUAGGAUAGAGGCCUACCAUGGUGGCGACGGGUAACGGAGAAUUAGGGUUCGAUUCCGGAGAGGGAGCCUGAGAAAUGGCUACCACUUCCAAGGAAGGCAGCAGGCGCGCAAAAUUACCCAAUCCCCGACCCGGGGAGGUAGUGACAAUAAAUAUCGAUGCAGGACCCGAACAGGGUCUUGUAAUUGGAAUGAGAACAAUCCAAACCCCUUAACGAGUAACCAUUAGAGG
rnacentral:rRNA from 1 species